rnacentral:rRNA from 1 species
GACGAACGCUGGCGGCGUGCUUAACACAUGCAAGUCGAACGGAAAGGCCCUGCUUUUGUGGGGUGCUCGAGUGGCGCACGGGUGAGUAACACGUGAGUAACCUGCCCUUGACUUUGGGAUAACUUCAGGAAACUGGGGCUAAUACCGGAUAGGAGCUCCUGCUGCAUGGUGGGGGUUGGAAAGUUUCGGCGGUUGGGGAUGGACUCGCGGCUUAUCAGCUUGUUGGGGGGGUAGUGGCUUACCAAGGCUUUGACGGGUAGCCGGCCUGAGAGGGUGACCGGCCACAUUGGGACUGAGAUACGGCCCAGACUCCUACGGGAGGCAGCAGUGGGGAAUAUUGCACAAUGGGCGGAAGCCUGAUGCAGCAACGCCGCGUGCGGGAUGACGGCCUUCGGGUUGUAAACCGCUUUCGCCUGUGACGAAGCGUGAGUGACGGUAAUGGGUAAAGAAGCACCGGCUAACUACGUG